rnacentral:rRNA from 1 species
UACGUAGGGGGCAAGCGUUGUCCGGAUUUAUUGGGCGUAAAGAGCGUGUAGGCGGCCAGGUAGGUCAGCUGUGAAAACUCGAGGCUCAACCUCGAGACGUCGGUUGAAACCACCUGGCUAGAGUCCGGAAGAGGAGAGUGGAAGUUCCUGGUGUAGCGGUGAAAUGCGCAGAUAUCAGGAAGAACACCCGUGGCGAAGGCGGCUCUCUGGGACGGUACUGACGCUGAGACGCGAAAGCGUGGGGAGCGAACAGG